rnacentral:rRNA from 1 species
GACGUAGGGGACGAGCGUUGUCCGGAUUCAUUGGGCGUAAAGCGCGCGUAGGCGGCCACGCAAGUCGGGUGUGAAAUCCCGGAGCUCAACUCCGGAACUGCACUCGAAACUGCGCGGCUUGAGGUAGGUAGGGGAGAUCGGAAUUCCUGGUGUAGCGGUGGAAUGCGCAGAUAUCAGGAGGAACACCGGUGGCGAAGGCGGAUCUCUGGGCCUUACCUGACGCUCAGGCGCGAAAGCUAGGGGAGCGAACUGG